UCCCAGAGGCUCCAAAGUGCUGUUCGUGCAGGUAGCGUGUGCAGCCGACUACUGCCGAGUCAGCGCUUCGCGAGCCCCCCGGACA
rnacentral:pre_miRNA from 2 species